rnacentral:lncRNA from 1 species
GGCACGGCUUCGCUUCCUCUCUGUGGGGAUUUUCUGUCUCUCCGUCCUGGUUUGGCCGUCCCGAGCCGCGGGAGAGGCGCUGCGGGACGGACCCGGCUGUCCUAAGGGCGAGCCNNNNNNNNNNGGUUUGGCCGUCCCGAGCCGCGGGAGAGGCGCUGCGGGACGGGCCCGGCUGUCCUAAGGGCGAGCCAGGACGGGCGGGGAUGUCCCGGCUCCCCGCUCCGUGCCUGGGGUUCUCUUCUUGUAAUGAGAGUAAUUCUCUCUUUAAAGAGAGUAAUUUACGUCUUGCAAUCUCUAAAGGUUAAAAUGAAAACAUAUCAGAAGUUAAUUCGGCAGCGUGGCGCUCUCCGGGCUCGCCGCUUGGUUUUGUGAAAACACCGGUCUCGCUGGAAAUUGCAACUUUUCACUGAUUUUCAUGUGCCCCUAUAGUUACUUUACAUUUCCUGAAAUCCAGAUCAUCUGUACACAGACACUAUGGGAAUUCAGCGAGCUUCUAGAAGGAAACCUGUUAUUUUUCAGUGAUUGUCACAGGAUGAAAUCCAGACCAUGUGUGAUGACAUCGAUAAAUGACAUCAAAUUUCUGUGGAAAUUUGGUGCUUCUCUACGAGGCAAGUUAAAUAAAAUACACUUUAGAAGUUUAUUCCUGCACGUCUGCACUCUUUGUUAGGUCAGAUCAGUCAGACAUGGGUUAGUAAGCAGGACUGAAAUCCUGGUUUUGAAAAUGCACAGAUGAGGGGGAGGAGAGCACUUGCAAUUUAGAUUCAGAUCCCCACUUUCCUUGAGAGAGAGGCUGGGCAGCUGAACUACAGGGUACUCUUAAAUUGUGCUAAUUAGCUAGGAGACCAGAAAUGCUUUUUUCUGUAAUAUUUCUUCAUGAAUGUUUAAUUGUGAUGAGAUAAACAAAGAUGUCCAUAACAGACUCCAUGACUGCAAUA